CACGUAGGGUGCGAGCGUUGUCCGGAAUUAUUGGGCGUAAAGAGCUCGUAGGCGGUCCGUCACGUCGGAUGUGAAAUUCCAGGGCUCAACCCUGGACCUGCAUUCGAUACGGGCGGACUAGAGUUCGGUAGGGGGAGACUGGAAUUCCUGGUGUAGCGGUGAAAUGCGCAGAUAUCAGGAGGAACACCGGUGGCGAAGGCGGGUCUCUGGGCCGAUACUGACGCUGAGGAGCGAAAGCGUGGGGAGCGAACAGG
rnacentral:rRNA from 1 species